rnacentral:lncRNA from 1 species
CGUGUUCCACAUGUUUUCCGAGGGAGAUGUGUAGUGGGAGCCGGGUGGGGGUGAGGGCGUUGUGCCCGUGUAUCUAUGGCAGAGACAGAGCCAUGGGCAGGGGCAAGGGGGUUGCAGGGCCGGGGCGCCCCCCUGUAAGUUCACCGUGUACUUGACAGACUUGGCCAUCAGGAUCCGGAUGUCAAAUGUGUCCUGGGAGAGACCACAGGUGUGACGUGGCAUCUGACGCCAGGGCCAGCAUGGGAGGGGAGAGCCCUGCCCCUUCCCCCAGGUCUGCCCACGGCUUCUAGGCUGUGCAGCUAAAACGAGCUUGCUCUUCCCAGACACGCCGUGAGGAGGGGACCGGCACAACGCCACCGAGGGCAAUCAGGUGACAGCUCUCCAAAUGACAAGUGUUUAUCCACAUAAAAGAUUUGGCACUACAGGAGUUUAACCUCCAGAUACAUGAACACAUCAACAAACUUACAUGUAUAAUUAGAUUGUCCGUGGUAGCGACACACUGGAAACCAUCUAAUUAAACCAGUGAUGGCUCUCCCAUCAAAGACCAUGCGGACGUGAGAAAGAAUGAAGAGGCUCUUUAUGAACAGAUGAGGAAAGAUCUCCAAGCUAAAUCAUUA